CUGGUCUCCCUGGUCUGCUGGGGGGGGGGUCCAGCAAAGCCGCUGGACCCCCCCCAGAAGACCAGGGACACCAGA
rnacentral:pre_miRNA from 1 species